GACAGAGGCCUCGAGCGUUAGGCGGAAUCACUGGGCUUAAAGCGUGUGUAGGCGGGCCCGUAAGUGUCUUGUGAAAUCCCCCGGCUCAACCGGGGAACGGCUGGGCAUACUGCGGGUCUUGGGCCGACUAGGGGCAGCCGGAACAAGCGGUGGAGCGGUGAAAUGCGUAGAUAUCGCUUGGAACGCCGAAGGUGAAAACAGGCUGCUGGGGUCGCGCCGACGCUGAGACACGAAAGCGUGGGUAGCAAACAGG
rnacentral:rRNA from 1 species